GCUGUUAAUACACUGGGGAACUGAGCAAGCGAUCACCAUCAUCCAACUAACCCAUUAAAAAAAUUUACAAAACAAUUUCGACACAAGUAAAAUCCUGAAUUGCAAUGUUGGGAUUUGCAUUCUCAUCAACAAUCCUGUGUGAGGCCAGCACCCGAGGAUUAUCAGGAUUAAGUGAGUACCAGGAUUAUAGGAGCACACUCCAGACAGCUAGUAAACACGUUCUGUCCUCUGUACUAGCAUGACUAUAAACCAUGCACUAGAAUUCAUUAUGAUCUUGUCUUGGCCCAGGCUUCUCACUUCCUCAAAACUGGCAUUCUUUGCCUUUUCCCCCUUCCAUUCCAGACCUUUUUUUCAUUUGGAGACAAGACUUUUCUGGGUGAUGAGCUCCUUGCUGGCUGCUCACAGUUGUUUCUGUGCACCUAAACUAUAAGUCACUCUAAGAAAGCCUUAUUACUGAAGUAUGCUUUGGCCUCACAGAGCUACUUUGUUUUUUAUAAACCACAAAUGGAAAUCAGUUCAUUUUAAAGCAUUUCCCUAAAAUCAACAUUCACUAUAAACUAGAAUCAGAUUCUGGUUGAUUAAUACACUUAUCAGCUAAACCUGAAAACAUGUUUACGUCAGCUGAGUCCUUUAAAUAUGAACUGAGCUGGAAUUUAAAGGACACCCAUACCACUGGCUCAGAGCUCAGCACCAUUACAAAGAACAGAAACCACAUUAGAUUCACAGUCUCAUCACAUGCUCUUGGAGCCAGAUUUGUAAGUGUCUCAAAAACCACAAACUCGCUUUUACUAACCUUGGCUCUAAAAAACAGGGUAAGAACAUGUGUGUCACUGCAAGGGGUUGGGGUUACCCAACAGAAACAUUCAAAGGACCUGUAUCUUUAUGUUACCGGUGUACACACUAGCUGGCUUACUGGCUGCUGCUGACCUCCAAGUCUCUGCUGCUCAAAGCUGCACUCUCCAUUACCUCCCUCACUCCUACUGCAAGAAGUUGUCCCAGUGCCUCUGUCUUGGGAGUAGCUAAGGCAGCCUGCUCUGAGCAAAUCCCCAUUAAAUCCCCAGAUUCAGAGAUUAAUGGUGCUACUUCUCUCAUUUUGAUUUCAAUUGUACUAACACUUGAUACCUUUUAAAAAGUCCAAACAGGUAAACUAAGCAAAUUGGUGACAUCUGAGUUCCUUUAAGGGAUCACUUUCAUUAAUUGAUACUGUGACGCUCUGCCCACUGUCACUGUUUAAACCAGCUUAUAGUCUCUGAACUAAUUGGGCAAGGGAAUGCCCUAUACUGAAUCCAGACUGAGCUGUUACCACAGGGCUUUGCAGAAAGAGCAGCUUUUCUUUCAGGGAGACAAUCCAGAGAGACAAGGACAAAAGCCAUGUAAAAAAUGAGACACAGAAGCAAUACAUAGCCAUUUCCUAUAUGCUAGGAACUGAGUUUUGUUUUUUAUUUUAGUCUUUUUGCCUUUUCUUGAUAUGGAGGUUCCCAGGCUAGGGGUCUAAUUGGAGCUGUACCACCGGCCUAUGCCAGAGCCACAGCUCACAGCAACACUGGAUCCUUAACCCACUGAGUGAGGCCAGGGAUCGAACCCGCAACCUCAUGGUUCCUAGUUGGAUUCAUUAACCACUGUGCCAUGAUGGGAAUUCCAGGAACUGAGUUUUAGUACUCAAAGCAGCCAAAC
rnacentral:lncRNA from 1 species